AUUGAACGCUGGCGGCAGGCCUAACACAUGCAAGUCGGACGGCAGCACAGAGGAGCUUGCUCCUUGGGUGACGAGUGGCGGACGGGUGAGUAAUGUCUGGGGAUCUGCCCGAUAGAGGGGGAUAACCACUGGAAACGGUGGCUAAUACCGCAUAACGUCGCAAGACCAAAGAGGGGGACCUUCGGGCCUCUCACUAUCGGAUGAACCCAGAUGGGAUUAGCUAGUAGGCGGGGUAAUGGCCCACCUAGGCGACGAUCCCUAGCUGGUCUGAGAGGAUGACCAGCCACACUGGAACUGAGACACGGUCCAGACUCCUACGGGAGGCAGCAGUGGGGAAUACUGCACAAUGGGCGCAAGCCUGAUGCAGCCAUGCCGCGUGUAUGAAGAAGGCCUUCGGGUUGUAAAGUACUUUCAGCGGGGAGGAAGGCGGUGAGGUUAAUAACCUCGCCGAUUGACGUUACCCGCAGAAGAAGCACCGGCUAACUCCGUGCCAGCAGCCGCGGUAAAAC
rnacentral:rRNA from 1 species